rnacentral:rRNA from 1 species
GACGAACGCUGGCGGCGUGCUUAACACAUGCAAGUCGAACGAAGAGCGAUGGAAGCUUGCUUCUAUCAAUCUUAGUGGCGAACGGGUGAGUAACGCGUAAUCAACCUGCCCUUCAGAGGGGGACAACAGUUGGAAACGACUGCUAAUACCGCAUACGAUCUAAUCUCGGCAUCGAGGAUAGAUGAAAGGUGGCCUCUACAUGUAAGCUAUCACUGAAGGAGGGGAUUGCGUCUGAUUAGCUAGUUGGAGGGGUAACGGCCCACCAAGGCGAUGAUCAGUAGGCGGUCUGAGAGGAUGGACGGCCACAAUGGGACUGAGACACGGCCCAGACUCCUACGGGAGGCAGCAGUGGGGAAUCUUCCGCAAUGGACGAAAGACUGACGGAGCAACGCCGCGUGAGUGAUGACGGCCUUCGGGUUGGAAAGCUCUGUUAAUCGGGACGAAAGGCCUUCUUGCGAAUAGUGAGAAGGAUUGACGGUACCGGAAUAGAAAGCCACGGCUAACUACGUG